AUUUUCUUCUUAACAAAAAGAAUAAGGCUAUGAGAUCUCAGCAAAACAACUGUGCCCUGCCCAUCACUUGGCUUUGGAAUAAAAAAAAAUAAUGAUAUAAACUCUUUGACUUCCAGGAAUGAUAUGAACAGGAACUGUAAGAGCAGGAAGUCCAGAUGCUUCUGAGAGGACCCCAGCUCCUAAUUCCCAUUUGUAGACGGCUCAGAUCAAGACAAUCUCUUCAUGAAACAACUCAACACCUACUAAGGACUCAGAGAGCUUUCCCAAGGACCUUUUUUGUACCAAGACAGAAGGACCAAAACCAUCAGCUUUAAAGAAAACUGUGCCCUUCCCAACACUUGGCUUUGGAAAAAAGACAUGAAUGAUAUAAAUUCUCCGACUUCCAGGAACCAUAACUAGCAGGGAAGUCCAGAUGCAUCUGAGAGGCUCCCAUCUCCUUAUUACCAUAUUUGGAAGGCUCCAAUCAAUACUAUCUUUUCAGCAAACCUUCUCAACCACUACCCAGAAAUGACUGAGAUUUCCCAUGGACCACAUAUUUCUUUUUUUUUAUAACAAAGCAGAAGGCCAGCUUCCUUCUUCCCAUCUUUGAUCACUUCAUCCUCUUUUUUCUCCUUCCCAAAGGCUGUUUAUGCUGAAUUAGAGGCCAAAUAGUAAACCCUAGAGGUACUGAAGGACUACUGGAGAGGCAACUUCUGUCAGGACAACACUUGUUACAUCACAGAAGAAACUAGGGAUCUCCAGGAUACAACAGAUUUUUUUAGAUAGGCCUAAUGGUGAUGUCACUGAGAAUUGUCAUGGCCUACCUGCUAAAGUGUUUUCCUUUCAAUGACCAGAUUCGAGGGUGCCCUUGCAAGGUUUGUCUCCUGUGAAACAAUGGAAACCUUUUCAUACUACAUGUCUUUAAAGCUAGAAACUUCUCUUUAUUUCCUUAGUGGUUACAUGCUCUGAAAGGAAAAGAUAAUCAGGAGCUUUGCAUGGGUAGAAAAGAUCUCGGAACAUGGAGUGGAAGAGAUUCCUCUGGAUAAUAAUUUUAUUACCAGGUCCAUUACUAUGACAUACAGUUCAAUAUCCUAGGUUAUCUCUGUUUCCCAAAGGCCAGCAUUUUCCCUACAAUCCUUUAAUUGAAUUCAUAUUUCAUUACAGUUUCUCAUUGUACAUUCCUUGAUAGGUGACUUUAUAUAUUCCUGAAUGUGAAGUGAAAAAUUCUGUUUUCCAAUUUCAUGUUUUUUUGCAAUGAUUUUGGCAACCCAAAGGUCCCACCUAACGUUGAAUAUAAAAAUGUAAAUAUUAUGUACCUACUUCCAAUGAUGAACUUCCAAAUCCUUAGUUUAUCCACAAAUUUCCAGACAUCAGAAAAGCUAAGGAAAACAUGAAAUAUAGAAUAUGGUUCAGUAGUCUCAUUAGACAUCAGUUCUUUAAUAUCUAACUUCCUGUUCCUCUAGGACCAGACGUGAAGGUUUUCGAGGUUUUACCAUGGUUGUUACUUCAGGACAAACAUAAAAUUCAGGAGGAUGUGCAGGGAGAUGAAUGGCUUAAUGUCCAGGGAAACUUCAACUUCAAUAGGUUCAUAAGAACAAGAGGGAGGUGUUUGGAAUUGCCAUUUGUGGAUUCUACAUUCUUGACCUAGGUGUACAUAAUCCAUGUGAAAAUUCCACCUAACCUCAUAGCUGUAGGAGCCACCAAAUGUAUAGUUGGAACCAGAUGUACAUCUUUCCUGAGAGACACAGCUUGAGCAAGUCAAAUACAGAAGAGAAUGCUACUGGCAAACCAGUGAACCAAAAAUGGAUCUCUUGUUGGUAGUUUUUGAGAAAGAAUUACAAGAGCUUAAGGGGAUUUCAAUUCCAUAAGAACAACAAUGCCAGUGAACCAGAGCUUUCUGGUACUAAACCAAUAUUCAAAGACUGUACUUGGACAGACCUAUGUGUCCAACUGCAUAUGUAGCAGUGGAUGGCCUUGUUGGGAACCAAUGGAAGGAGAAGUUCCUGGUCCAACCUAGGUUUAACUCUCAGUUCAAGGUAAUAUCAAGGUUCACUAAGUUAGGUUAUAGAAGAAUGUUAGGGGGACUAGUUACGGGUCUUAUGGACAUGAAACUGGGAAAGAAAAUCAAAUUUGAAAUUCAAAUAUAGAAAUAUCCAAAUAAAAAAAGCAAUAAAAUUUGCUAAAAAUUAAAAAAAUGAAAUAAAUUAAAGAAAAGACAUCUGUCAGCUAAUUACACAUAUUGACUCAGAAAUCUAAAGGGUAACUAUCAGGAAAUGGUAAUCAGAGUAAUACUAGUGGAAAGACUGAGAUGAUGAAGUCUCAACUAGAAGCUCUUCUCUCCCAAAUAUCAGUGUCAGACACAAACUGCACUAUAGGUAUCCAAAGCAUGGAGGCGUUUGCACUGAGCUGAGGAGACAAUACUUGUCUAUCCUUUGUUUCUUCGGACCUUUUUCUUCAGGGCAAAAAGAGUGAAAGCCAUGAGCUCUCACUAGAACAACUGUGCCCUUCCCAACAACUGACUUUUGGAAUGAAGAAAAUGAUUAUAUAAACUCUCUGAAUUCCAGAAACCAUAUCAAGCAGGGAAGUCCAGAUGAUAAUGAGAGAAUCCCAGCUCUGGAUUCCCAUGUGUGUAAGGCUCAGAUCAAGGCUAUCUCUUCAGAUACAACACUCAACGCCUACCCAAGACUCACUGAGCUUUCCCAUGGACCAUUUAUUUCUUCCUUUUUUUAUACAAAGAGAGAAGGCCAGCUUCCUUCUCUUUUAUCUCCCUAACAAAUGGCUGUUUAGCCAGAAUAAGAGGUCAAUGAGUUAACCCUAGAGGUCCUCAAAGAAUAUCCAAGAGGCAGUUGCUGUCACCAUGACACUUGUGACAUCACAGAAAAGCUAGAGCUCUUCAGGAUACAAGAGAUAUUUCAGGGAGGACCUAAUGAUGAUGUCACUGAGAACUGCCAUGAUCUAACUGUUGAACAGCUUUCUUUACAUUGACCAGAUUUGAGGGUUCCCUUUCCAAGAGUGUCUCUUGUGACACACUGGAAACCUUUAAAUACUAUAUAUCUCUAAUGCUGGAGACUUCUCUUUGCUUCAUUAGUACGUACAUGUUCGGAAUAGAGAAUGUUGGUCAGGGGCUUGGCAUGGGUAUAAAGAUCUAGGAACAUGGGGUGGAGGAGAUUAUUCUGGAUAAUAAUUCCACUCCCAGUUCCAUUCCUGUGACAUACAGUUCAAGUUCCUAGGUUUUCUCUGUUUCCCAAAGUCCAAUAUUUUCCUUCCAGACAUUUAGGUGAAUGAAUAUUGUAUUACAUUUUUUUAUUGUACAUUCUUUGAAAGGAGACUUUAUAUAUAUUACUGAAUGUGUACUCAAAUAUUCUGUUUUCCAAUUUUAAUUUUUGCAAUGAUAUUGGCAACAAAGUUGGCCCAGCUAAAGCAUGAAUAUAACAGUAUAAAUAUUGUAUACCUACUUCAAAUGAUAAUCUCUCAAAUCCUUAAUUUAAGCAAAAAUUACCAGCCAUCAGUAAAGCAAAGGACAAUAUGGACUUUAGAAUGCGGUUCAGAUUUUCUUUUAGGCUUGAAAAAUUUUGCGAAGAAGGUUUUGUGGGUGUAUUUGUGUCUUUAUCCCUCCAUUGCUGGUCUUUC